UGCAACUUGUGGCAGGCUAUUGUUCCGUC
rnacentral:piRNA from 1 species